rnacentral:miRNA from 1 species
UUCCGCUGGACGAGGUACACGUACCUCAUCCAUCGGAAGGAAAGCCUUCUGCUGGACUUGUACCUCGUCCAGUGGAAGGAAAGCCUUCCGCCUCAUCCAGCAGAGGGGUUUCCUUCCAAUGGACGAGGUACAUGUACCUCGUCCAAGCGGAA